AAAAACGUGACUUUUCACGAAAGAAAAAAAAGUAAGCGCGUUUUUUCGCGCGUCGAAAAGCUAAGGAAGACCGGGGAAAACCAAAACAUCGAAAAAACAAAAAAAAACGUUUAAAAAGCCGAAAACGCGUGCAGAAAAAUAAAAAAACAAAAUCUAGAGGAAGCGUUCAGAGCAUGACACGUGGCGAAUGGCUGAGAGCGCCAAGUGGCGCUGAUCGUUGCGAGGCUCCCGAAGGAGCGCUCGUUAACUAGUUGCUCCCAAGCGGUUCGGCUUAACGGUAGCGGCAGUUUCGCUGGGACGGGCUGAAAGUCUGAAAUAGAGGCCCAAAUAGAGCUUGGCCCAAAUUUCCUCGGUACAGAGAGCAGCACCCCCACGAAACCUAGCAUCUCGUAUCCCAUUCCCUUCUCUCCCUCCCAGCGAAAAGGUGGCGGCGGCUGUGCUCGACCUCGACUCAUCCCAGCUGCGCGUGAACCGGCUGCUACAUCGCCGGAAGGGAAGCCGGAUGCAGUGACGGGGAGGCAAGGCAGCAAGGCCGGAUGCAGUGACCACAGGACUUGGACGCCGUUGGGGAAACAGCGGGACACUAAGCUUAUGCAGGUGACCAUGGAGCGAAUCAGAGUCAUUCAGUUGGAAGCGUGCCAUUAACUUCGCUCCAAGGUGCUUCGUUUUGGCGCAGUCUUCAGGCUUCUGUGUGGUGCUAGCCUUGAGCCAAUGUGCAAUGUCUUCAUCUUAUCUCAGGCCUAGUGGCCGGUGGCAUGUACCGAACUUAUUCUGUCUUGCUUUCUCGUUGCGUGUGUGUUUCGAACCUUGUCAGAUGCUGUCUGUUGGUGGGCUUUAUUAAUUUAAAGCCGGACGCUCCUUGCGUCAUCGUUCUAAAAAAAUGUAGCAGAAGUGGGCCAUCGUUGGCGGAGGAGAGGCAUGGGAUUAACGGAUUCGAGUGUGGAGAGUUGUGCGAAUAAGUUAUGUAAAAUUUGGGUCAGGUACCCGCAAGAUUGUAUUUGUGAUGUUCUGGACUCGGAUCGUGCCGAGAUGAUUGAAUAAUACGCAACCCAUUACAACCAAAAACAUAUUUUUU